UGCGUAUGUGCAUUAGCUGUAAAAGAGAACAACUUGGUUAUUUAAUAGAUUAGCAGUUAGAGUUUGAUUGAGACUCCAAUGCUUAUCCUUAAUCAAUUUGAGUCCUUAACUAAUACAAACUCCAACCGUUAUCCUAGCUUAGGAUUGUGUUCUCUUCUAAUAAGGAGACUGUCCUCCUUAGAAAUCAAUGCAAUAUUUUCGAUCAGUUUAGAAGAUAUUUGUUGCGUGAUCUUCAAUGCAAAUCUUCCUCACAUGCCUCCCAUGUGCCACAGUUAUAACAAAUGUGUCUCCCAAGAUGGCCCAGGUCCAUCCCUGAGUUCAUUUGUCAAUUGUCACAAUUUCAACUGAACUUGGGCCAAAAAAGAGAAAUAAAAUGAGCUAGCGUUAUUGGUAAAAACCUUCACGGGCAGUGUAAGGUGAUGAGGGCUGAGAGAAAUAACAAUGAGAGAGCUUAUUGGUGAAAACUCUCACGGGUACCUUAAGGUGAAAAUGAGUUAAGAAGUGAAAUGAGAAAGGUCGGUUGGUGGAAAACUGUUUCGAGGCACUGCAGGAUGAACAAGGUCAAGGUUUGGGUAAAGUAAUCUUUUUAUUGGAAAUUCUGAGGCAACUAAGUAUGGAAAUUGAAAGUUGAUUAGUUGGACAGGUUGGUCUGACUAGUCCGAAAUGCAUGCCAUGAUCAUCGGUACCAGUUAUUACAUUCAGAUAAUUUUCUUUUCCUCGUCUUUUUAGUAGUCAUCCGGUUUUGGGUUCUUCUUAUCCUUAACUCGCAAAAUUAUUGCAUUUCAUUUUAUUUUGGGGUUUAUUUGUCUAAGAUAUUUUAAUGUUAGUCAUGUUCAAAGCAAGUAGAAAGGAAUUUCAAAGCUCUCUAACAACUUCAAAAAUUGCAAAGCAGUGUGGCCAGAGCAAUACUAAAGACAACAUGAUGUAAAAUAGGAUACAGGGAAUCACUGGAAGUUUCAUUGGUGGAAUGGUUUGGUAAUGUCAGGGGGAUGCAAAGGUUCAGAUAGUGGGUCAGAGGUGUGAAACAACAGCAUGUAUAUAGAACACUUGGGUCGUCAAAGGUCAGGGGGUUUGAAAGUCAGUUAGAAAGUCAAGCGGUUCAGGGCCAGUGAGGGGAAGACAGUCAAAACAAAACAAUGCAGUGGAAAGAUCUUCAGCAAGAAUGCCAUCAGCUAACCACAAUUUUAAACUGACAAAAUAUUCUUUGAUUGAAACAGGGGCAGAAAAUUUCAUUUGUUUCGGAGGAAAUCUCCGCAAGGAAAGGCAGGCAUCAAGCAGGUUUGACAGUAAGUUUCAGGACCCUCCUGGAAAAUGGUACCUACUUUAAUUUCAAAACAAUCAUGAGUAGCAUAAUUUAGCAUAAAUGUAUUCCAGAGGAAUAUAAGUUGGUAUUCAUUUUUAAGAUAUGAUUCAAUUAGCAGCUUUCAGGACCCUUCUAAAUAAUGGGAUGUAGUUUUAAGAUUAUUUAUAGAUAAUAGGAUUUAGUGUAGGUACUAUUGUAGGGUAAUAUAAUUCAGCUGUAAAAUUGUCACUCUUAAGAUAAGACAUGAAUUUUGAUUUUUAGGACCCUCCUGGAUAAUGGGACGUAGUCUUAAAGUCUGCUUAGAUAACAAGAUAUAGUGGAAGUCGUACCUUCAGUAGAUAUAACUUAGGUUAGAACUGUGUUUUAGAUAUCAAAUGUAGUGGGAGUAAUACCUUUAGAAGAUAUAACAUAGGUUCGUAAUUAUUAGGAGUUGUUAGGACCUCCCUAGAUAAUAGGACUCAGCUUUCAAAUUCUUAUAAUAGUGGGUAAAAUAAUUCCGUUUAACACUCACCCAUGUGCCCAUCUACCAAACUGGGACAGGAAAUUUUCUUUAUUUUGUCUAUUUUGUUAAACUCAAGGGCCCGCCUAGAGAACAGAGGCAGACAUUUCAAGUUUCAGAAGUUAGGAGCCCGCCUGGAGAAUAGAGGCAUACAUUUCAAGUUUCAGCAAUCAGCAGCCGCAUACAUUUCAAGUUUCAAAAGUUAGGAGACUGCCCCGAGAACAGAGGCAUACAUUUCAAGUUUCAACAGUCACGAACCCGCAUGGAGAACAGAGGUAUACAUUUCAAGUUUCAGCUGUCAGGAGUCCGCCUGGAGAACUGAGGCAUACAUUUCAAGUUUCAGCAGUCAGGAGCCCGCCUGGAGAACAGAGGCAUACAUUUCAAGAUUCAGAAGCCAGGAGGCCGCCUAGAGAACAGAGGAAUACAUUUCAAGUUAUAGAAGUCAGGAUCCCACCUGGAGAACAGAGGCAUACAUUUCAGGUUCAGCAGUCAGGAGCUCUCCAGGAGAACAGAGGCAUACAUUCAAGUUUUGAAGCCGGGAGCCCGCCUAGAUAGCACACGAAUAUAUUUAAGUUUUGAAGUCAGAGGAAUACAUUCAAGUUUUGAAAUCAUGAGCACGCCUGGAUAGCAUAGGAAUAUAUUCAAGUACAGUAGUUAGGCAUCCACCAGAAGAAGAGGAAAACAUCUCAGCUUUAGCGGCAACAAUGGAUUUCACCGAGAGAAUACAAGACAACAAGGCAACAAGAAAUACAAGAGCAAGUUUGAAGAUCUAGAUAUGAUUUUUAUAAUUCAUAGAUCAUAACUUAGUCUAGCUUCUUUUAUUUUGACAUGGUAUAAUAAAUGGAUUCAGUAAGCAGUAGCAGCAGCAGCAGUGAAAUCACAGCUUCAUGGUAGUCCCAGCUACCAGACAUUCCUGAACUACACUAACCUGAUUUCUUUUUAGCCAAGGAUAUGUAGGCAACCUCAUAGGUAGGGUGCGGUCAAAUCUUCCAAAGAUGCUUCACACAGAGUAUUCAAACGGGAAAAAAACACUCGUAUCUGCUCACUUUAUCUUUGCCCGAAAACUGUUCAUGUUUUCGAGCAAAGAAGGACAGAUGUGAGCACGUAAUUUUUUUCAUGUUUUCGAGCAAAGAAGGACAGAUGUGAGCACGUAAUUUUUGCCCUAUAUGAAAUACUCCCAUAAAUUCAAAACAAAAUAAUUUCUUUCAGUAUUUAUAAUUUUGUGGCAUUUUAUGCUAAUUGUUUGCAUAGUGCCUCUGCAUUUUAAUUAAUGAAAAAUAUAAAAAACAUAUGUGCAUUUGUAUUUAGGAUUUAAUUUGAUAGUUUAGGAUUAGUUAAUUAAUUAAAGUUGUUUUAUAAAAAGGAAACUCAAAAAUAAUGUAUUUUGCACUUUUAAUUCUUAUCUGUAACUAGUUCCCCGUUAAAUUUGUUUUAAUAAAUUGUGUUAACUAUCAUUUAGGUUUAAUUAGUGACAUUAUAUAGUUAAUUAGCUUCCAAGAUUUAAUUGAGGAAUUUUAGUAAUUUUGAGAAAAGAAAAGGAAAAGGAUUUGUGGUUAAAUUGGUUUUGAAAGAGGAUUUUAUGUUUUUGGGAUGUUCUUUAAAAUUAAAUCUCCAGGCCCAGAUUUUCACCCCAAACCCGUUCUUCCCAUCGAAACUCAUUCCCUGACCAGGUCCAUUCUGUGCUAGCCCAAAACGACUUAGUUUCAGUAUUAAACUACGACGUUUCAUUUGUCUCUAUCAUUAAACGACCGAAUCAACCUCUGGUCAUUCAUUUCACCUCAUUCCAAAUAAAGAAAACCUAAUUUCUCUACUCUCUCAAAUCACCACCUCCCUCUGUCGUAACUCCAUCGUCCGAAAUUGCCUCACAGCGGUGGAGCUCCUCCAAACACAAUCAAAUCGUAGCCAGCCGACCCCCGUCGUCUCUUCUUUCAUGUCCAGCUGCUACUUUGUCCAAAAGACCACCGGAUUAUUCCUAAUUUCGGAUCAAAGGUUAAAAAUCCAAGCUUUCUUCUCUUUGCCUAAACUUUUCCAGAUUAAGUCUUUAGUUCGUGUUAAUGCUUGCAUGAACCCCUCAGUUCUUCAUCAAGGAAGGUCUGAUCAUUGCCAAGAACGCUCUGACCUUCAACCAUGGCUGUAUUUCAGGCAUGUUCUUUGAAACGAUUCACUUCCUUCUAGAUUCUGCUUCGUUUCUUUCCAAACUCAUGAUGAGAAUUGUGGUAUGAAUUAUAAGCUAUGAACGAAGGUUCAGUUAAUAUUCGCAUUACAGUUUCACCAGUGAGUCCAGCAUUAGAGUUCAUUGGAGUUUCGAUUUUGGGUCAGCCUCAUCAUUGAGGAUUUUGAAGUUUUUAACGAAUUGUGGAUGUCUCUCUAUCUUUCGGUAUGUUUUAUUCCUCCCUUUAGUUCAACAUUUGGUCUUUGGUUCCCUCUAUUUUUCUGUAAGAUUAAAUUAGAUUUGUUAAUAAGUAGUUUAGUGUUAAUUUUCAUUUAAAACUUUUAUUCAAAAAAAUAAAAGAAGAGGAAAAGAAAUUGAUUAAUUGUAAGUGUUGUUUCAAUUCCGAAUUUGGAAGACAUUUCACUCCUUUAAGUUGAGUUUUGUUUUUGUUUGUUUGAGUUGGGUUUGGGGUCUAUUGUUUACCAGCCCAUUGCUUAAAAAAACAAAACUUGUCUAUUGGCCCAAAUUUAAGGUUGGGUUUGGGUCAAUUGACCCCACUUGACCUUAAGAGUAAAUAGCAGGGUUUGGGGGGAUAAUUUAGGUAAUUGACUUAAGGAAUCUCUUUGUAACUGAAUUGGAAGCUUCUGGGAAGCUGAUCUUGGGGUUGCUUUAAUAAAAGGAAAACUAGAUAAGGUUGUCUAAGCAAAAAAGAAAAUUGAAAAAGGGCUGAAUUGCGAAAUCUAAUUCUUAAGUCUGCCCUACUAUGCUUGCCUAUAAAGGCACAUUAAACUUGCCUUUCAAGGUAGAGAUUUAAUGCCUAAAAAUCCAAAAAAAAUCAAAAACUGCUGAAAAUAUAUUGUUUCAUCCAUUAGGAAACGCAUUGAAUUAAAAUGUGCUCAAAUUAUGUGUGCUUGAGUAAAUACGUAUGGCUAGUUGCUGCGUGUCUUGGUCUUCGCGUAUGAUAUGGUUCAGUUAAUUAGUAAUGUUCGUAGAGUAAGCCUUAAGGCCUUCUAAAACAUAAUCGUAGUUAUGUAUACAUUCACAUAACAUGACCAUGAUUCUAAAACCAACUCGGAGUAUGCGCUCGCGCAACUUCGAUAAAACUUUUGUUAAUAGUAAAAUGGUUGUUAUUAGACCACUAAUUUAAUCUAGUCUAUAUCCCGAGGUGUUCCAUCAACCAUCUUAUCAUAUAUGGAUCUUGUAUUAACUUAUAUAUAAAAAUGAUAAAAGUUUGUAGUUUGCUUUAGGCGUAUUUAAUAUACAAUUGUGAUUGUGGACACGUUCGCGUGACAUGAUUGCGAUUUCUUAAAACAAAACCAGAGUAUGCGUUCGCGCAAAUUCGGCCAAACUUUCUUAAUAAUAAUAAAGUGCUAUUAAUUGUGGAUACGUUCGUGUGACAUGAUUUUGACGCGCCGAACAAAUGGGUACACGUAUGCGUGACCCAUUUUAAGAUAAUUUUUCUUAUUUAAAAACAGUAAGAAGUAAAUUCGCGUAGGUUCUAAAAUCGGUUUAAACAAAUUGAUAAGCCAAGUAUGAUCAAAGCGACCGUACGAGAACCACGGAACUCGGGAAUACAUAACACCUUCUUUCGGGUUAACAGAAGUUCUUAUCUGGAUUUCUGUGUUCGCAUACAUUAAUAUAGACUCAAACUUCCUCGAAUCGAAUUUCUAAACCGGUGACUUGGGACACCAUAAAUCUCCCAAGUGGCGACUCUGAUUCUAAAAUAAUAAUCUCAUUUCAAUUGUCACAUAAAUUGAAAAAACUCCUUUACACCCUUCUCGAGGAUAGGAAAAAAGAGGUGUGACAGUGCUAAAUGGGCCUUAUAGGAUGGCCACUCAUAAACUGACCCAUGUCCCCAAACGUGUUACACCUCAUAUUUCGUACGUAAAAGAGUGCCGUAAGGAAACUAAUGUAAGAUUAAAAAUGAGAUCAUCUUGGAAAGUACAUAAGGUAAGUUACUUAGUUACCUCGAAGGUUACAAAUAUUGAAGAUCAUGAACAAUAAGUAUAAAUAGGUUUAGAUGGUUCAGAAGCUAAAGGAAUUGAAGAAACUAAUAUUUCGUCAAAAGUGGACAAGUUGGAAAUUUUAUAACCCGUACCUCCGGUUAACAAAAGUGUAAGACUGUACAGACUGUUAGCUGAUAAGUAUGCGUCACCUACUUGUUAAAUAAUAGGAUUAAAUAUGUCCAAAAAGGGGCUAUUCUGGGUCAGUCAAAGAGCCAUUUUAAGGGCUUAUCUCCUGAAAUAUAAUACUCAUUAUACAGAAAAAUAACCAAAGAUAAGCCCCUACAAAAAUCCUCCCAAAAAUUGAACACAAACCCUAAUUGAUUUUCUCACAUUUUCAAAUUCUAGUUGGAGGAAAACCUGGGUUUGGAGAACCAAGAUAGGAGCUGAGAUAUUCAACAAAUAAGGUAAGUUUAUUGCUCUCUUUUAUCCAUUUUUUCUGUUGUAAAUGUAUGAAAAUUCGUUCUAUAAUCGUAAGAACUCACGAGAUGGUGAGCGUAAGUCGUGAGUUCGAGUUAUUCAACUUGUAAUGGACUGUUUUGUGGGCUAUUUCGUGUUGCUGUUGGAUUUUGUGAUUUGAUACUGUUUUAGGGAGUUUUGGAGGAUAAAGGGUGCGGAUACAUAUCACAUAAAUGCAGGGUCGUGGGUUGGUCGUUCAUCGUAAUAUUUUUGGGAUGUUUGACACUACUACGAUGGUCAUUUUGUGUAUGAAGAGAUUGGGGUGUGUUGGGCUGUUUUAUAGUAUUUUGUGGUGUAUAUAAGGUUGAAAAAUAAUGUGUGUAUAUAUACAUAUAUAUGUGUGUGUUUGUGUGUGUGUAUGUGUGUGUUCUUGUGUUGUUGGUGUUAUCUGUGAGCACGUGAUUUUGCCUUAUAUGAAUUACUCCCAUAAUUUCAAAGCAAAAUAAAUUUCUUUUCAUCAUUUUCAAUUUUAUGGAUUUUUUGGCAUUGUUUGUUAAUUGUUGCAUUUAUUUGCGAAUUUUCAUUUUUAUUUUUUAUUAAUGGAAAAUACAACAAAAAUAUAUUGCACCUGCAUUUAGGAUUUAACUUUAUAUUUUUGGUAAUUAAGUUGUUUUCAUAAAAUGGAAAAUCACCAAAAAAAGAUUUAUUUUACAUUUUAGCUUUAAUUUUGAAUUUUGGGUAGUUGGUCCUUUAAUUUGGUUCAGUUAAUAUUGGUAAUUGUGAGUUAACUAAUUAAAGUGGUUAGGUUAAUUUGUGUUAUUUUCUUGUUUUGUUAAAUUUUGAAAAAAAACGAAAAGAAAAAGAAAAGAAAGAAAAAAAAAGCAUUGAAAAGAAUUGGAAACAAAAGAAUGCGAUCAGAUUUGAGCCAGCCUUUGAAUUAAUUCCCCAUCCCAAACCUUCAACCCCUGAAACCCGUUAAGCCAAGCCCAAUCUGUCCCCUGACCCGUCACCUUAACUUCCCAACUCAAAAAGACCCCAUUUCCAUGCCCAGUGAUCUCAUCCAUCGAGGUUGGCCCAAUCCAACGGAUGGGAAGUGAUUUAUGCUUUUGCGUUUAACUAUCGGAUUAGGUUCCCCCCCCCCCCAAUUUCUGUCUCUCCCAGUCGCCCUUGUCACACCUCCUUUUUCACUACACCCGCAAGGGCAUAAAGAAGUUUUUUCAAUUAAAGGACAAUCAAAACGGAAUUUAUUAUUAAGAUUUCAGUGUCGCCACUUGGGAAAUUAAUGGUGUCCCAAGUCACCAGUUGAAUCCCGAACCGAGGAAAAUAUCACUCUAUUAACAGUCUGUGAACCAGAAAUUCGGGUAAGAAAUUUUGUUAAUCCGGGAGAAGGUAUUAGCCAUUCCCGGGUUCCGUGGUUCUAGCACGGUCACUCAACUGUUGUAUUUGGGUUUAUCCGAUUUUAAUACGUGCUAACUUAUGUGCUUUUAUAGUUUUAAAACCGCUUUUAUUAUUAUUGUUAACGAGAAUUGCAACGUCGUGAAAAUAUGUCUCGAACCACGUUACAUCAAUGCAUCCGUAGUUGUUGACACAUUUCGACUUCGUUGAGAUUUGGAUUUGGGUCACAUAAAUGCGCACCCGCGUUUAGGAAAUUAAUAUUAUUAAAGUGCACUUAAAGUGACUAGCGUGUCAUUAUUUUGGGGAGGGCCGUGAAAUUCGCUAAACGGCCCAUCCGAAUUCUAAGGACAAAACAAGAUUAACCAAUAUUUUAAUUCAACUUCAAAUAAAUCUAAAGCACAAGCAAAGCAAUUAAAGGGGAAUAACUGGAGAACCAAUAUUUUAACAAAUCACAAAACAGAACGUCUAACUAGAGAGGAAUAACAACAGCAUCAACCAUUAAGAAGUAAAUAGCAUAAGGUGAAGGAACUGAACCUUUGAGCAAAAAUUCAUUCGAACUGAUUUAAAAAUCGACGACGGAUGAGCUCGAAUCGAGAAAACUGACAACUUCAACUGAAACUAGAUGGUAAAAUUCAACGAAAAUCUCGUGCCUCGAUGGCGCAGCAAAUUUGAACCCGACCCCUUCAAAUUCAGCCAACAAUGAACGGAUGAGGUCUUUAUUAAAGAGGCAUCAGCGUUUAACCCAGAUCUCGAGCGUCAAUGGAAAUUAAUAACCACCAUUGAAAUUAGAAAAAACAAACACAGUCAGAAUUCAACUUAUCUCCAAACUUUCAUAUCAACACAGAGUUUUACAAACUCAGCAACAGAGAUCCGAGUCAACAAAAUGGAACCUCGACUACGAUCUCACACGACUUUAACAGCCGAUUUUGAUACAAUUUGGUAGAAACUUAAAUUGAAAAUAGAGAAUAACGAUUUCAAAUCGAACUUCAACAGAAACUCAAAUAGAACCUCAUCACAUCAAUUGAACUCCAUUUUUAGACCGGAAAUUCAAAGAAACAGUAGCCCCUGUGUGUAUUUGCGUGUUGUUCAGCGGUUGAAAUCCAUGAGGAAGAUGAGGGAAAUCUCAUGGGGAAGGGCCCUGUUCUGGGUGGAGAUGGGGUGGUAUUGGCGUGGAGGUCUGGAGAUGCUGAUAUUGGAGAGGAGGGGUCUCGAUGGGUGUUCAAAAUGAAGAAGGAAGAAAAAUUUGAUGGGUCUCUCUCUGUGUGAUCCUGGAAAGAGGUGUUCUCGUUUAUUUGAAGGUCUUCGAAAUGGUGAAAACGAUAGGGUAGGGUCACGUUAUUUUCGUGCCUCUAACUCAGGUAGGGUCAAGCGGGUCCGGUAGGAAGAUUGGGC
rnacentral:lncRNA from 1 species